CUAAAUCCUCUAAUUGCUAAUUAAUAAAAAAAACAAGCAAGAAACAAGCCCAACAAAAUUGGGAUCGGGCCUAUGCACUGCAGUACCAAGGGGGUGUAAAAAUAGAUCCAUGUUAUUGUGCAUGGGCCUCACAUUAGAGGCCCAUUCGCCAAUGUGCAUAGGAGUGAGGGGGUACGGGAAGCAAUACAAAUGUGUGGAUUGGAAAUGCUUAGGCCUCAAGCCCAAGCCUUACACGGUCAAGCACGGUCCACAUUGUGAGAAAAGAUUCAUGAAACUUUCAGCACGCGUUGGAUACUCUUCUUCAUCGCUUUCAAUCCUCCUCGCUUUCGCUCUCCCGUUUCGAAUGCUCGCCGAACAACAUAGGUAUGAAACGAAGCCUAAUCACUGUCACUAAAUUCCUAUUUCAAUUUUAGUUCAUCAUCAUCCCCCCUGAAUCGGAACUACGAGAUCCCACGCCGAAAUCCAAAUCUCUACAUCGUGUGAUAUCUUGUGCGCGAAAUUGAAGGUGAAUCGAAGCAUGCUCGUGUUCAGGGGAGGUGCAUCAAUAAUUGAAGUGAACGAUGGAAGAAACUUACCGGAGUGGAAAUCCGACACGGAGGCCCUCCGGCGAAUCACAGUGAAUCUUUGUAGAACUUGAAUGAAGGUUGAGUUGUGAACUGGUUGAAGAUAGAGAGUGAACUGGUUGAAGAUUGAGAGUGAAGAAUCUGAAGAAUGAAUUUUUGAGAGUGAAGAAGCUGAAGAAUGAAUUUUUGACAGUGAAGAGUGAAUUUAUAAUGGUGAUUGAGUUAACAGAAGGUUAACUCUGUUUGCUUGCUUUUAUUGAAAGUUGUUAGAAGUUAGAUCACAAUGUUAGAAUGUUAGUUAUGUUAGUUAGAUAUUCAGAUUCAGUUAGGGCAAAUUUGGAAGGAGAUGGUGAUAACUAACUUUGAGUCGUGUCCAUUUUGUUAGUGGAAAAUGUCAGUUAAGUCAUGAGAAUUCAGUUAGACACUUUUCAAUUAGAAUGAUAUGGAUCUGCUGGAUUGUUUGCCCUCAAGAAUUAUGUUGCUGAUGUGGUAUUAUUCAUAUUGGUAGUCUGCUAUGUGUUACCCUGUUACAUGAAUUUGAAAUUAUCAAGUUGUUGUUAGUUAUAUCUGAAUCAUUGAAUACUGAUUUGCCUUGCUAAUAUGGUUGGAGGAUGUUGCAUUGCACAAUGUUGGACAUGAUUUGGUAUGCUACUGCUUGGUCCUGCUUUCAGCAAGGGCAUAGCAAGAUGCCCCAAUCUCAUCUUGGCCAGUCAUGAAGAUAAGGAUGUCACCUAGAGGGCCUGUUAUAUGAAUAGUUCUAGCUUGCAGCUUCAACAUAAUCUCCACAUGGAGUUUUUCUCUAUAAUACAUUGGCAAGAAAUGUUCUCCCAGGACUAUGACAGAUCAGACCACUUCCAAAGACAUUUGAUAAUUUAUGUGCAUUCAGAGUAGCUGAUGUAACAAUCAGCUUGCAAUCACAACAUUGGGCUACAACUUCCUUCAAAGACAUUUGUGCUUCAUGAUCUUCCAUGGGCCUCGUCUAUCACAAUGACCCUGUACUUGUCUGAACCAGAACUUUUAAGUGUUUCCUGCAUAAGUAUCCCAUUUAUCAUGUACUUUAUGGUAUUUGGUUACAGGUUUGCGAAUUGGAUCGUUAGUUGUUAUUAUCAUGGUUGUUGUAGACUUGGUUAGGAUGCAUUUGAAUGUUGUAGUUCAAUAUGUUGGAAUGGUUAUGAUGUUAAGUGAUAUCAUGGAAUAAUGUUGAAAUGUUGUGUUAAA